CGGUGAUCGGCGCCAUUAGGCGACGCCUUGGAUGGCGGCUUGUGGAGGCUAGUAUGGUGGUGGCCGGUCGAGUGAGGGCAGGGUGGCCGUGAGCAGCAGAGGUAUCUUUGGGUUCUUCUUAUCAGAGGAAGAAGAGACUUAGGUCUCUAGCAUGGGUGCAGAUGAUGAAAUGGUGAAAUGAAGAAAGACCCCUAAUGAGUUUCUG
rnacentral:lncRNA from 1 species